rnacentral:rRNA from 1 species
AGAGUUUGAUCCUGGCUCAGAAUCAACGCUGGCGGCGUGCCUAACACAUGCAAGUCGAACGCGAAAGCCCCUUCGGGGGUAAGUAGAGUGGCGUCCGGGUGAGUAACACGUAGGUAAUCUACCUCCGGGUGGGGAAUAACGUCUCGAAAGAGACGCUAAUACCGCAUAAUGCAGCGGCACCUGAUGGUGAAUAGUUGUUAAAGCGGGGGACCUUCGGGCCACGCGCCUGGAGAGGAGCCUGCGGCAGAUUAGCUUGUUGGUGAGGUAAUGGCUCACCAAGGCGACGAUCUGUAGCUGGUCUGAGAGGACGGCCAGCCACACUGGCACUGACACACGGGCCAGACUCCUACGGGAGGCAGCAGUGGGGAAUUUUGGGCAAUGGGCGCAAGCCUGACCCAGCAACGCCGCGUGAGGGAGGAAAUCCUUCGGGAUGUAAACCUCACAAGCAAGGGAAGAGCGCGAAGGGGUGAAUACCUCCUUCGUCCGACGGUACCUUGCGUAAGCCACGGCUAACUACGUGCCAGCAGCCGCGGUAAUACGUAGGUGGCAAGCGUUGUUCGGAAUUAUUGGGCGUAAAGGGCGCGUAGGCGGUUUUGUAAGUCGGCUGUGAAAGCCCGGGGCUCAACCCCGGAGGGUCGGCCGAUACUGCAAGACUGGAGUACGGAAGAGGUAGCUGGAAUUCCCGGUGUAGCGGUGAAAUGCGUAGAUAUCGGGAG